GUGUUCGCUUCAUCAGUACAUAUACUAUAAUUGGAACGAUACAGAGAUUAGAAUGGCCCCUGUGCAAGGAUGACAUGCAAAUUCAUGAAGCGUUUAAAAAAAAA
rnacentral:snRNA from 1 species